rnacentral:rRNA from 1 species
UGGGGAAUUUUGGACAAUGGGCGAAAGCCUGAUCCAGCUAUUCCGCGUGUGGGAUGAAGGCCCUCGGGUUGUAAACCACUUUUGUAGAGAACGAAAAGUUGUCCGAUAACACCGGACAAUGCUGACGGUACUCUAAGAAUAAGCACCGGCUAACUACGUGCCAGCAGCCGCGGUAAUACGUAGGGUGCGAGCGUUAAUCGGAAUUACUGGGCGUAAAGGGUGUGCAGGCGGUUCUGCAAGACAGAUGUGAAAGCCCCGGGCUUAACCUGGGAAUGCCAUCUGUGACUGCAGGACUAGAGUGUGUCAGAGGGGGGUGGAAUUCCAAGUGUAGCAGUGAAAUGCGUAGAUAUUUGGAAGAACACCGAUGGCGAAGGCAGCCCCCUGGGACAUUACUGACGCUCAUACACGAAAGCGUGGGGAGCAAACAGG